UCUAGAUCUGGAGUGGACUGAAGUUUCAGUAUCUAUGAGAGAUGCAAGAACCUUUUCUCCUUCUCAAGGAAGCAUUGAGCAGUUGCAUUGCAAAUACAAGGAUCACCAUCAGUCCAACAGAGAGGUAUCAACAAGAGGUUGAGGUUAUCACUUGAGGGCAAGAAAUCCUAUCGUAUCCUUCCAAACACGGAGGAGCAUUCCUUACUUUUAGCAGAUCAAAUAAUUCGAUGAUGGUUUGCUUUCUUACUGUUAUCUGUUGAAAUGCAUGUUAUCUGUUGAAGAGCAUGGUAAGGAUGAAAAGCCUACCAAAUGUUUAUUCCAAAUCUAAAAUGCAUAUACUUAGCUCCGUGUUUUGUAUGCAUAAUCAGGGGCGAUAAGCCCUGCAUUUGGCCUUAAUAUGAUGAAAUAAAUAACUUGUCAUUGUUAUGCAUAUUAGCUAGGCUCUAUGUGGGUAUGUCAUAUCAUCAAUCUGUCCCCAUUGAUUAUGCGUGUACUUUUCUCUUGUAUUAGCCUGAUGUAGAAAAUAACUGAAUUUUGUUUCUGUUCUUGCAUCGCAAAACCAACUUGGGUGAAACUGCUAUUGCCAAAUAGAUUGUUCUGAUUAUAAGGAGCCUUUUUCAAAUAUCGAGAUGAUGUAUUUGCAAACCUUAAUGCAAAAUGUUUAGUCAGUCUCAGCUCUACUUUCCAGGUAUGCCACAUCCAGAUUACUCUUAUCUUUUGUUUUUCUUUUCUUGGGAGUAUAAUUUACUUCCUAUUUUCUUCCUGUUUCUCUAACUACCCCCACUAAAAUUUGUAGUAGUUAGGAUGCUAAAGGGUAACAACGAAGGUAUCCACUCAAGGAUCGAGCAAAUGCAGUUCCAAUGCCUGGGGAUUUUAACUGUCCAUGAAAUAUUUCUCCUCUUAAAAGUGCAAUUUAAAAAACUAAUAUAUAAAAGCACGGAAAUAUUAGACAUAACAAUUCUGAUUUAUUAUAUUUAGGUGGGCGUAUCGUGCACCAUACACCUGGGUCAGAAAUUGCAUUUCUGUCAUUCAAACUUCAGAGAAUGAUUGAUCUGCUUAUCCGUUGAUGUUCUUGUGAAAUUGUAUCCUUAUGAAUAUUUCCAGCCCGUGGGAACAUGGUAAAUGAUAAAGCCAAAAAAAUAGCCUUGAUGAAAAUAACUGACAGUGGUUCUGAAAUUUUACUUUAGCGUCUUUCUAAACUCACAACACUGAACUUGGUAUGUCUAUAUAAUAUGCAAAAACUUUAGUUUGCAGAAUGUCAGAUUUCAGACUUUUGGUUAGGAUGCUACAUGAGAUUAUAUGUAGAGACACCGGCUUAUAUUAUACAGAUUUCUUUUAUUAUUUGUUGAUGUUUAUGUACUGUAAAUGUAAGUCAUGGGCAUCCCAAAGAAACUUGUUCUGACCAUUGGCAUUUUCAUGGACCACCGUCAGAAGAACAUGUAACUGGAGGUUAUGCAGUCUAAUGUCGACAGGCGCGAGAUACAACGACAACCUGGCAAGCUUUAUCUUCCUAAGCCAUCCGGAGGUCCAGGGCCACUACAUGCCCAUCACUCGCGGCGGCGAGAAGCACAUGCAUACGGCAAGCUCCGUGUCGAGAUGUUUAACCAACACCUGUUGGGAGCCCGGAUGAAGAAGGCUGUCGACGCGGAGAAAGAGGAUAAGUGAUGAGAUGUUUAUGGCAGCUAAUGGAUGAUGUUAUCUUAGUUUCUGGAUUUUUGUUUCGGCUGACUCAGAAACCUUGUUUGAUUUUUGAAGAUAGCUUUUUAGAACUACAAAUAUUUGAUACAAUGUGUUUUAGUAUAGACGUGCGUUGCACGUGCAAGCUUACUAGUUAGUUACAAAAUAACCAAUAUAGAAGC